rnacentral:rRNA from 1 species
CGAGUUUAGGGGCUCCUUCGGGAGCACCGGCGGACUGCUCAGUAACACGUGGACAACCUACCCUCGGGUGGGGGAUAACCUCGGGAAACUGAGGCUAAUACCCCAUAGGCCUCGGAUACUGGAAGGUUCCGAGACCGAAAGCUCCGGCGCCCGAGGAUGGGUCUGCGGCCUAUCAGGUAGUUGGUGGUGUAAAGGACCACCAAGCCUACGACGGGUACGGGCCCUGAGAGGGGGAGCCCGGAGAUGGACUCUGAGACACGAGUCCAGGCCCUACGGGGCGCAGCAGGCGCGAAACCUUCGCAAUGCGCGAAAGCGCGACGAGGGGAGCCCGAGUGCCCUUCCUUUCGGGAGGGCUUUUCUGGAGCCUAAAAAGCUCCAGGAAUAAGGGCUGGGCAAGACGGGUGCCAGCCGCCG